rnacentral:rRNA from 1 species
CGUGGGCAACCUGCCCUGAAGCGGGGGACAACAACUCGAAAGAGUUGCUAAUACCGCAUGUGAAUUGCUUUGGCAUCAAAGCGUAUUCAAAGCCGCAAGGCACUUCAGGAUGGGCCCGCGGCCUAUCAGCUAGUUGGUGAGGUAACGGCCCACCAAGGCUUCGACGGGUAGCUGGUCUGAGAGGACGAUCAGCCGGAUUGGGACUGAGAUACGGCCCAG